GCCCGGAUGGUGGAAUCGGUAGACACACAGGACUUAAAAUCCUGCGGCGCAAGCUGUGCGGGUUCAAGUCCCGCUCCGGGUA
rnacentral:tRNA from 1 species